UUUCCUACGGGACGCAGCAGUGAGGAAUAUUGGUCAAUGGACGAGAGUCUGAACCAGCCAAGUAGCGUGAAGGAUGACUGCCCUAUGGGUUGUAAACUUCUUUUAUAUGGGAAUAAAACGUUCCACGUGUGGGAUUUUGUAUGUACCAUAUGAAUAAGGAUCGGCUAACUCCGUGCCAGCAGCCGCGGUAAUACGGAGGAUCCGAGCGUUAUCCGGAUUUAUUGGGUUUAAAGGGUGCGUAGGCGGACUGUUAAGUCAGCGGUAAAAGCCCGGGGCUCAACCCCGGCGAGCCGUUGAAACUGGCU
rnacentral:rRNA from 1 species